UCCCUGGAGGACUAGUGGUUAGGCCACGGCACUCUCACCGCUGCAGCCAGGGGUCGAAUCCCGGCCAGGGAG
rnacentral:tRNA from 1 species